rnacentral:rRNA from 1 species
AUACGUAGGUGACAAGCGUUAUCCGGAUUUACUGGGCGUAAAGGGCGUGUAGGCGGUCUUGCAAGUCAGAAGUGAACUUCCUGAGCUCAACUCGGGCGCUGCUUCUGAAACUGCGGGACUUGAGUGCUGGAGGGGAUAGCGGAAUUCCUAGUGGAGCGGUAAAAUGCGCAGAUAUUAGGAAGAACACCGGUGGCGAAGGCGGCUAUCUGGACAGUAACUGACGCUGAGGCGCGAAAGCGUGGGGAGCGAACAGGAUUAGAUACCCUGGUAGUCCACGCUGUAAACGAUGAAUACUAGGUGUAGGGGGUAUCGACUCCCUCUGUGCCGCAGUUAACACAAUAAGUAUUCCGCCUGGGGAGUACGGCCGCAAGGUUGAAACUCAAAGGAAUUGACGGGG